CUGACCUUAGCUCAGUUGUAGAGUGGUGGACUGUAGUUGGACUAAUCUAAAUUGGAAAUCCUUAGGUCGCUGGUUUGAUUCCGCCAGGUUGGA
rfam:Ipomoea nil DNA, scaffold: scaffold0963, cultivar: Tokyo-kokei standard.